UACGUAGGGACCGAGCGUUGUCCGGAAUCAUUGGGCGUAAAGGGCGUGUAGGCGGCCAUUUAAGUCCUGCGUGAAAUCCUGCGGCUCAACCGCAGGCGGUCGUGGGAAACUGGGUGGCUAGAGUGCGGGAGAGGAGAGUGGAAUUCCUGGUGUAGCGGUGGAAUGCGCAGAUAUCAGGAAGAACACCCGUGGCGAAGGCGGCUCUCUGGAACGCAACUGACGCUGAGACGCGAAAGCGUGGGGAGCAAACAGG
rnacentral:rRNA from 1 species